UCCAGGGAUUAGUGGCGAACGGGUGAGUAACACGUGAGUAACCUGCCCUUGACUCUGGGAUAAGCGCUAGAAAUGGCGUCUAAUACCGGAUACAAGCUUCACCCGCAUGGCUAGGAGUUGGAAAGAAUUUUGGUCAAGGAUGGACUCGCGGCCUAUCAGCUAGUUGGUGAGGUAAUGGCUCACCAAGGCGACGACGGGUAGCCGGCCUGAGAGGGUGACCGGCCACACUGGGACUGAGACACGGCCCAGACUCCUACGGGAGGCAGCAGUGGGGAAUAUUGCACAAUGGGCGAAAGCCUGAUGCAGCAACGCCGCCUGAGGGAUGACGGCCUUCUGGUUGUAAACCUCUUUUAGUAGGGAAGAAGCGAAAGUGACGGUACCUGCAGAAAAAGCACCGGCUAACUACUUGCCAGCAGCCGCG
rnacentral:rRNA from 1 species